UGUGUGUCCAAGGGGAUCCCAUCAGCAGCCCAAAAGGGAGAUGCCAUUUGGAAAAGUCACAGGAUGAUGCCUUGCAGCUUUGACUUGUUUUGAGGACACCCAUAAUGUCCAUCAUUUUUCUCAGUGGCAAGAACUUAUGUGGAAAGUUGGAGGAAGAAGUUGAUCCCACAGUACAAGAAGUUUGGCACAUCCCCAUGGCCUUGAGAUGGUGUUUUCCCUGGAAUGUCUGAAGGCACCUAAAGCAAAGGGAACCCAGCACAUUUUCCAGCAUCCAGGAGGGAAGGCUCAGGAGAAAGGCAAACCACUGAUGAGCCAGUAACAGUAAAC